AACGAACGCUGGCGGCAGGCUUAACACACGCAAGUCGAGCGCCCCGCAAGGGGAGCGGCAGACGGGUGAGUAACGCGUGGGAAUCUACCCAUCUCUACGGAAUAACGCAUGGAAACGUGUGCUAAUACCGUAUACGUCCUUCGGGAGAAAGAUUUAUCGGAGAUGGAUGAGCCCGCGUUGGAGUAGCUAGUUGGUGGAGGAAAGGCCUACCAAGGCGACGAUCCAUAGCUGGUCUGAGAGGAUGAUCAGCCACACUGGGACUGAGACACGGCCCAGACUCCUACGGGAGGCAGCAGUGGGGAAUAUUGGACAAUGGGCGCAAGCCUGAUCCAGCCAUGCCGCGUGAGUGAUGAAGGCCCUAGGGUUGUAAAGCUCUUUCACCGGUGAAGAUAAUGACGGUAACCGGAGAAGAAGCCCCGGCUAACUUCGUGCCAGCAGCCGCAGUAAUAC
rnacentral:rRNA from 1 species